rnacentral:rRNA from 1 species
CCUACGGGUGGCAGCAGUGAGGAAUAUUGGUCAAUGGACGCAAGUCUGAACCAGCCAAGUCGCGUGCAGGAAGACGGCCCUAUGAGUUGUAAACUUCUUUUGUAUGGGGGUAAACGCAGAUACGCGUAUCUUUCUGUAAGUACCAUACGAAUAAGGAUCGGCUAACUCCGUGCCAGCAGCCGCGGUAAUACGGAGGAUUCAAGCGUUAUCCGGAUUUAUUGGGUUUAAAGGGUGCGUAGGCGGACGGAUAAGUUAGAGGUGAAAUUCGGAGGCUCAACUUUGGAAUUGCAUCUGAUACUGGUCGGCUAGAGAGUAGUAGAGGUAGGCGGAAUGUGUGGUGUAGCGGUGAAAUGCUUAGAGAUCACGCAGAACACCGAUUGCGAAGGCAGCUUAC